UCUUGACUAGUAUAUCGGUUAGUACACGCGCUUGUCAUUCUGGUAUAAUUGCGUACGCGCGCGAAAGCUGGGUUCGACUCCCAGGUCGAGAG